UGGAAAGUUUUCUGGGUAGUCUCGAC
rnacentral:piRNA from 1 species